UACGGAGGGUGCGAGCGCUAAUCGGAAUUACUGGGCGUAGAGCGCGCGUAGGCAACUUGAUAAGCCGGUUGUGAAAGCCCCGGGCUCAACCUGGGAACGUCAUCCGGAACUGACAGGCUAGAGUGCAGGAGAGGAAGGUAGAAUUCCCGGUGUAGCGGUGAAAUGCGUAGAGAUCGGGAGGAAUACCAGUGGCGAAGGCGGCCUUCUGGACUGACACUGACGCUGAGGUGCGAAAGCGUGGGUAGCAAACAGG
rnacentral:misc_RNA from 1 species